AUUGAACGCUGGCGGCAGGCCUAACACAUGCAAGUCGAGCGAGCGGCGGACGGGUGAGUAAUGUCUGGGAAACUGCCUGAUGGAGGGGGAUAACUACUGGAAACGGUAGCUAAUACCGCAUACCAUCAGAUGUGCCCAGAUGGGAUUAGCUAGUAGGUGGGGUAACGGCUCACCUAGGCGACGAUCCCUAGCUGGUCUGAGAGGAUAACCAGCCAAACUGGAACGGAGAAACGUCCCAGACUCCUACGGAGGGCAGCGUUGGGGAAUAGUGGACAAGGGGCGCAAUCCUGAGGCAGCAAGGCCGCGUGUGUGAGGAGGGCCUUCGGGUUGUAAAGCACUUUCAGCGGGGAGGCGUUACCCGCAUAAGAAGCACCGGCUAACUCCGUGCCAGCAGCCGCGGUAAUUC
rnacentral:rRNA from 1 species